rnacentral:rRNA from 1 species
UACGGAGGGUGCAAGCGUUGUCCGGAUUCAUUGGGUUAAAGGGUGCGCAGGCGGGACAUUAAGUCAGGGGUGAAAGACGGUUGCUCAACAAUCGCAGUGCCUUUGAUACUGGUGUUCUUGGGUGACCUUGAGGUAGGCGGAAUGGGUGGUGUAGCGGUGAAAUGCAUAGAUACCACCCAGAACUCCGAUUGCGAAGGCAGCCUACUGGAGGUUUACCGACGCUCAGGCACGAAAAGCGUGGGGAUCAAACAGG